rnacentral:ribozyme from 14 species
AGAAAGGAAGCAGAGAAGACAAAAAACGCACACAUGUCUUUUUUUUUCUUUUUCUUUUUUUUUU